AAAUGAUUAUCUUAUGAUAACAAAUGCCCACAUACAGAUUUGGCAAUGGCAAUAGCAAUAGAUUUGACAGUUAGCAAGACAUAGAUUUUAUCCUGUCGAGGUGCCCCGUAAUGACCAAAUGUGUUUGGUUGCGUUGAUGAACGCAUGUUUUGAUUAUUGCGCCGUGCGAAAACGCGAAAACACACAUUUGUAUUUAAAUAUAAAGGCAUUUUACAGCAUGAAUGCGAUGAUUGCGUGCGAUCAGAAUAUGGUGAUAAGACGUGUUUAUUCAAGGUAUGGAAGACCUAGUCACAUCUCAUUUGUGUGGAAUAAUAGCCCAUUAAAAACAUAUUUUGAGCAAACAUACCAAACAGAAGAUAACAAUUGGUUUACUUAGGUAACUACAAUUUAUAUGUGCAUGUACAUACAUAAUUACUAAAAUUAAAUUUCUUUUAUCCACCACACGAGUAUCUAUGGACGGCUUUCCGAAACGCUUUAUCAGUAAUAGCGGAAUUAAAUUUUAAUAAAAAAUAUGCAAAGGAAAGGAACGUAGUUGAAAGGACAAUUGGAGUGCUAAAAUGCCGUUUUCGUUAUAUACAGUAGCAGACAGUGAAAUCCGGACAACCCGUCGGUUUGUAUUUAAAGCACGAUUGUAACCGACAAGUGUAAUUUUUAGCGGAAGGGUUUAUUCUUUCACUUAAAUUAGUGCUCUGAACACGUUUUAUAACAACUUUUACUUUUAUUUUUCAAUAGUUUCAAAGUUUAUUUCGUGCUCGUGCUUGGUUAAAGCUCAAAUAUGCCAAAUUAAAAAAAAAAAUAUGCGAACUGCCGAAAAGUAAUAUUUUGACAAUUCCGGAAAUUAGUAAUGGAAUUGGCUUCAGCAAAUCUUCCAUCGGCGAAUUUCUAAAAAAUAUCGAUAAAACCAAGUCUCUUAAGAGAAAAACUGGCUAUGCAGCAAAGAAGAAGACAAGAUCUAGGACAUAUCUGGUGAUACGUUCAUCAGCUUGAGGGGUCGCGCAAGAACUGUUCGUCGAAGGCUUCAAGAGGUUGAUUUGAGCGCCAAAAAUUGGACUAAACUUGAUUGGCGAAAAUAGUAUUUUUAGAUGAGUCUAAAUUUAAAAUUUUUUGCAGCGACGUUGUGCCCUGUUGGCAGAGUUCUCAGUUCAACUGUUUAUUCAAGACUUAUUAUACAAAAUGGAUUUCAUGUUUCAGUAGUUAUAUAUGUUACAUAUACAAUAUAGUGUAUUCAUAUGGAAUAUAUAACUUAUUCGUAUUACAUUUCCGGACAAAGCCCUCUUAGGAAAUAUAUUACUUGUUACAUUUUCAACACUCUUUCUCAAGUAAAAUAUUUCUAGACGUUAAUAUUUAAGACCAAGCAUUUCUACAAAUUUAACAUGUUUUUGUUUUUGCAAAUUUUUAGUAAAAAUAUCAGAUACAUUUUCAUUUGUUGAAACAUACUCUUACUCUAUUUCUCUACGAUCAACCACAUCUCGAAUGUAAUGAUAUUUUAGCUCUAUAUGCUUGGUUCUCUUAUGAAAUAUAGGAUUCUUCGAAAUUUGUAUUGCGCUUAUGUUGUCGGCUUUCAACAAAAUUGGCUCUUCGGAACUGCAACCUACUUCCUUCAAUAAGCGACGAAGGUAUACUGCUUCUUUUGCUGCUGUGCACAAGGCAAUGUAUUCUGCCUCAGUGCUACUUAAAGCGACGACAUCUUGCUUCUUGGAUUGCCAAGAGAAUGUACUGCCAGCUAGAAAGAAUGAAUAGCCGGUGUAUGACUUCCUGUCUGUAUUGUUGCUUGCCCAAUCUGCAUCCGCGUAGCCUUCUACCGGUUUGUCACUUUUGUGAUAAUAAAGCUUUAAAUCUACGGUUUUUGAUAAAUACCGUAGAACAUUCUUUGCGCCAGCUUCAUGUUCGGAAUGAGGAUCAUGGUUUCUUUGAGCCAAUAAACUAACUGCAUGCAUUAUAUUAGGACGUGUUGAAAUCGCUAAAUACAUUAAAGAUCCAAUUAAAGACUGAUAGUUUGUUAUGUCCACCUUGGAGCAGUUCUUAUCGUUACAGCUUAUCUGAAAACCAGGAUCGAGAGGUGUGCUUACUGGACGACAUGAGUUCACUCCGCAUACACUCAACAACUCUUUGAUGUAUUUUUUCUGACACACAGAAAUCGCACCUGUUUUACCCUCACGUUCUAUUUCGAAACCAAGAAAGAACUUUAGUGUAUUACCAUCAUGUAAUUUAUUUAUUUAUUUAUUUACAACAGUUUACACAGCAAUAAAUUACAGCAUAAACUUUAAAAUGACACUAGCUGCAAGGCUUUCA